GUGGCGACGGGUGAGUAACACGUGGGCAAUCUGCCCUUCACUCUGGGACAAGCCCUGGAAACGGGGUCUAAUACCGGAUAACACUCUGUCCCGCAUGGGACGGGGUUAAAAGCUCCGGCGGUGAAGGAUGAGCCCGCGGCCUAUCAGCUUGUUGGUGGGGUAAUGGCCUACCAAGGCGACGACGGGUAGCCGGCCUGAGAGGGCGACCGGCCACACUGGGACUGAGACACGGCCCAGACUCCUACGGGAGGCAGCAGUGGGGAAUAUUGCACAAUGGGCGAAAGCCUGAUGCAGCGACGCCGCGUGAGGGAUGACGGCCUUCGGGUUGUAAACCUCUUUCAGCAGGGAAGAAGCGAAAGUGACGGUACCUGCAGAAGAAGCGCCGGCUAACUACGUGCCAGCAGCCGCGGUAAUACGUAGGGCGCAAGCGUUGUCCGGAAUUAUUGGGCGUAAAGAGCUCGUAGGCGGCUUGUCACGUCGGAUGUGAAAGCCCGGGGCUUAACCCCGGGUCUGCAUUCGAUACGGGCUAGCUAGAGUGUGGUAGGGGAGAUCGGAAUUCCUGGUGUAGCGGUGAAAUGCGCAGAUAUCAGGAGGAACACCGGUGGCGAAGGCGGAUCUCUGGGCCAUUACUGACGCUGAGGAGCGAAAGCGUGGGGAGCGAACAGGAUUAGAUACCCUGGUAGUCCACGCCGUAAACGUUGGGAACUAGGUGUUGGCGACAUUCCACGUCGUCGGUGCCGCAGCUAACGCAUUAAGUUCCCCGCCUGGGGAGUACGGCCGCAAGGCUAAACUCAAAGGAAUUGACGG
rnacentral:rRNA from 1 species